rnacentral:rRNA from 1 species
UACGGAGGUGGCAAGCGUUGCUCGGAAUCACUGGGCGUAAAGGGCGCGUAGGCGGGGAGGUAAGUCUGGUGUGAAAUCCCUCGGCCCAACCGAGGAACUGCGCCCGAGACUGCUUCUCUUGAGUCCCGGAGAGGAAGAUGGAAUUCCCGGUGUAGCGGUGAAAUGUGUAGAGAUCGGGAGGAACACCGGUGGCGAAGGCGGUCUUCUGGACGGUGACUGAUGCUGAGGCGCGAAAGCGUGGGGAGCAAACGGG